CANGCAAGUCGANGAGAGCGAACCCGNNNNUNGCANUGGUCAAUNUAGUGGCGNNGNGUGANUUANCACGUGGGUANCCUGCCCAUCAGAGGGGGANACAUUGGAAACGGAUGCUAAAANCCGCAUAGNUCUUCGANCCGCAUGGUUUGAAGAGGAAAAGAGGGGGCAAGNUUNUGCUGAUGGAUGGACCCGCGGUGCAUUUAGCUAGUUGGUGAGGUAACGGCUCACCAAGGCCGUGAUGCAUAGCCGACCUGAGAGGGUGAUCGGCCACAUUGGGANUGAGACACGGCCCAAACUCCUACGGGAGGCGGCAGUAGGGAAUCUUCCGCAAUGGACGCAAGUCUGACGGAGCAACGCCGCGUGAGUGAAGAAGGUUUUCGGAUCGUAAAACUCUGUUGUUAGAGAAGAACAAGUGCUAGAGUAACUGUUAGCGCCUUGNCGGUAUCUAACCAGAAAGCCACGGCUAACUACGUGCCAGCAGCCGCGGUAAUACGUAGGUGGCAAGCGUUGUCCGGAUUUAUUGGGCGUAAAGCGAGCGCAGGCGGUUCCUUAAGUCUGAUGUGAAAGCCCCCGGCUCAACCGGGGAGGGUCAUUGGAAACUGGGGAACUUGAGUGCAGAAGAGGAGAGUGGANUNCCAUGUGUAGCGGUGAAAUGCGUAGAUAUAUGGAGGAACACCAGUGGCGAAGGCGACUCUCUGGUCUGUAACUGACGCUGAGGCUCGAAAGCGUGGGUAGCAAACAGG
rnacentral:rRNA from 1 species